AAUACCACCCUUUAAUGUUUGAUGUUCUAACGUGGACCCGUGAUCCGGGUUGCGGACAGUGUCUGGUGGGUAGUUUGACUGGGGCGGUCUCCUCCUAAAGAGUAACGGAGGAGCACGAAGGUUGGCUAAUCCUGGUCGGACAUCAGGAGGUUAGUGCAAUGGCAUAAGCCAGCUUGACUGCGAGCGUGACGGCGCGAGCAGGUGCGAAAGCAGGUCAUAGUGAUCCGGUGGUUCUGAAUGGAAGGGCCAUCGCUCAACGGAUAAAAGGUACUCCGGGGAUAACAGGCUGAUACCGCCCAAGAGUUCAUAUCGACGGCGGUGUUUGGCACCUCGAUGUCGGCUCAUCACAUCCUGGGGCUGAAGUAGGUCCCAAGGGUAUGGCUGUUCGCCAUUUAAAGUGGUACGCGAGCUGGGUUUAGAACGUCGUGAGACAGUUCGGUCCCUAUCUGCCGUGGGCGCUGGAGAACUGAGGGGGGCUGCUCCUAGUACGAGAGGACCGGAGUGGACGCAUCACUGGUGUUCGGGUUGUCAUGCCAAUGGCACUGCCCGGUAGCUAAAUGCGGAAGAGAUAAGUGCUGAAAGCAUCUAAGCACGAAACUUGCCCCGAGAUGAGUUCUCCCUGACCCUUUAAGGGUCCUGAAGGAACGUUGAAGACGACGACGUUGAUAGGCCGGGUGUGUAAGCGCAGCGAUGCGUUGAGCUAACCGGUACUAAUGAACCGUGAGGCUUAACCUUACAACGCCGAAG
rnacentral:rRNA from 1 species